rnacentral:lncRNA from 10 species
UUAAGUGUUAAUAGCUAAUAAUAGAGCAAGCUUGAUUACUACCUUGGUGUCCUAAAACGGAUGUUGGCCUGCCAGGGAGCAGCCAAGGUGAAGUUUUCAACCAGGCCGACCAACUUCAGAGUCCACUGGCUUCAAAACAGUGCUUUACAUCCUCCUUCCAACAUUAUUCACAAGCCGAUCAAGACUGAGAGAGUCACAAGUGUGUGAAACCUGUAUUCUUUCUGACUUCAUUUUCCCUGGGAACCUCAAAGAAUUCAAAUAUGCUACUUAGUAUACACACUAAUGUUUGCUCACCCUUUGAGCAUAAGCUCAAAUUUUAUUGUGGCUUAUCUUCUCCAAAAAAUGGGUCGAAAUUUUUGUAGAAUAGACAAAUCAAGAAUGAUGACUUCUUAAGAUGCAGUAUUCAAGUUCAGAAAUCUAUACUCAGAUGACCUUAUGUAGGUCAUCUGCUUCUGAGGUUUAUCUCACCAGUGGUUUUCUUCUGAUUGCCAAGUGUUCUUUUUACCCCCAACAGGCAUCCUGACUCAAGCUGUAUACAUUUGCAAUAUCUGAUUUUUAACCACACACUCUUCAUCCUAUUGACCCAGAGUGAAAAUUGAUACUCUUAGCUGAAGGACUGUUCCCUUGAGUAUAUUUAAACCAGACCAAUCUCUGUGUUUAAUCUGGGUUCAUCAGGAACCAUUAGCUCCCAGAAGGCUGCAUAUGGAACUGACCUGGACUUAAUCUACAAGAUAGAUACCCAUAGAAACCUGUAUUAAGAAAACAGAUUUCAGGAGCCUUUGAACAAGAAGAGAGAGGAAGAAUGACAUAACUGAACAAGAGAGAUGGCGAGCAGAGUUUCCUGAAUGCUGUGAGCAGAACAAUUGGACAGAUGAGGGAAGUCUG